UUCAGUUAUCAUUCUUUUUUUCAUUGUUAAAAACAUGAAAAAACAUGUGUGAAUUUUAAUAAUUGUGAUUAUUAUUUGAUAUGAAUAAUCCCAUGGUUAUUGAUUAAUAAUUAUAGAGAUUAAUUUUGUAGUGUGUAUAAAAAAAGAUCUGAUCACUUCAAUAGAUUCAGAGAAAACACAUACAUUUUCCAAAGUUUACAAAACUUUUGUAAAGACUGUCAUUUUCACUGAAAAUGUGGGCUAGUUGACCGACGUUUGAGAUAUUCAAUUUAAAACAGUGUUUUGAAUGUUCUUUAUUAAAAUACGCUUGCAAAUGUAAUACCACCAACAACACGUCGAGCAAGCAUGUUUUUGAAGUGACUGAUAUCCUAAUUAUAUUUAAUUUGUUUUGUUGUUUAAAAAUGCCAUUUGACAAGCUGAGGGUGCAAUUGUUGUUACUACAAAUAAUGUUUUCUGAAACGUUUCUGAAAUGUUUUUGAAUAAAAAUGUUUUUUUUUAAAUCUCACCUAGCAUGUUUUUCUUAAUUUCUUCCAGUGUUCUCCAAGUGCUGAAGCUCGCCUAAAAGUUAAGCGAAGAAUCCCACACAUCCACAAAAAACAAGCAUUUGACACUGUAACAUAGAGACAUCUGAGGAAUGUUGUGGUGAUGACUUUCAGAGAACAGACAAGUACUACAAGUUCCAGUCCCUGGAUGAUCUGACAGUAGUAAGUGUGAGAUGCUUGAGGAGGAAAACAAUAAAGCUGAGGCUGUAGAGCGAGAGCACUGUGUUGAGCUUCUGAAGGCCAUGCAGAAAAUUGAUCCGAACAAGAGGAUCACUCCCCAAGAAGUCCUUGCUCUUCCAUUCAACACCAAAAACUACCCGAAAGGACACCAGGACAAAGAAGAAGAAGAAUGGUGUCCGGUGCUUCUUCUCUUGGAUGAUUAGGGAUGUGUGAAGUUCUCUUCUGUUUUGUUCAGUUCUUCCUGGGUUAAAAUAGGUCUAGAAAAGAUGACAUAUAGUAGAAGGUCUUUGAGAUCAAAUGAUUGUACAUGAGCAGGUAUCUGAAGUAGAACGUGACUGGUGCUUUAUUCUGAUAAACACCACCUACAACAAUUUGUGUUUGUAUGGUAUAUUGGCCAGGCAUGUAUACUGGACACACAAGCAACCUUAGUCAGAAUGACAUUUCUUGCCAAGUAGCAUUUCACCAUCUGAAUUUGUGUUUUGGUGCAUGACAAUAAACACACAGUAAGCACAAAAAAUUAAAGAAAGAUAAAGGGCUGGGACAUUAAGUCAAACCAUUGAUAGAUUAAAAAAAAAAAAGUUGUGUAAACUGGAACAUACAGUUUUGUCCAGGGAAUGUCUACAGUGUUGACCACUGAAAGUGUAUAUGUUCACAGUAUGCUGAGGACCGUCAAGCUCUGUUCCAUAUACAUUCAAUGUAGCAAUCACAUCAAGUUCUCGAACUAUUCCUUGUUUGCAUUAUCUAACUUGUUUUUGAAUAAAGUCUUGAAAAUGA